rnacentral:rRNA from 1 species
CACGUAGGGUGCGAGCGUUUGUCCGGAAUUAUUGGGCGUAAAGGGCUCGUAGGCGGUCCAUCACGUCGGGAGUGAAAAGCUGGGGCUUAACCCCAGUCCUGCUUCCGAUACGGGUGGACUAGAGGUAGGCAGGGGAGACUGGAAUUCCUGGUGUAGCGGUGAAAUGCGCAGAUAUCAGGAAGAACACCCGUGGCUAAGGCGGCUCUCUAGUACGGUACUGACGCUGAGACGCGAAAGCGUGGGGAGCGAACAGG